ACGAUUUUCUGCAGAAUUCAGGAAAUCCUCAAAAUUCUUCACUUUAACCAUUAAAGAGCUAGAGCCGACGGACUCGGCGAUGUAUUUCUGUGCUCUGUGGGAAGACACUGUGAGGCGUUUAAUAGGGAGCCCUGUACAAAAACCCACCCCCUGGGCUUUCUCACCAUGAAAAACACAACUGCAGAGUAGCAUCCCCAGGCCCAGACAGAUGGUUAAACCAGAUGAUGGGGCUGGUAUAAACCACACGACCUGACACUUUUGAAGCCCUCUGGGCCUAAUUCACCGUUGUGUUACCCCAGAUUAAUGUCAGUUUACCCACUCUGGGUCUGCUCCUCAGCUGCGGUGAAUCACUGUGUGGCAGAUGGAGUCAGCUGGGCCAGGUCCACCACAGGUCUCAGUCAGCUGUACUUCCACUGGGGCUGGAUUCCCCUAGCUGGAGUAAACCAGCAUGGGGCCAAUGGGACAGAUACACAAAGACACAACACACACAAGCAUGCAGACACACACGCACGUGCAAACACAAACAUAGAGACAAACAGAAAGACACCAACCCCCACAAAACCGGCACACACAACACAGAGCUUUUAAGACGUCCCACAAUGUAUUUAAUUCACUUCUCACCACGUAGCAACAAGAAGGACAAUAAAAAGGAAAAUGAAUCAGAAAAAACGACAGAAAGCCAGAAACCGACCUUCCAGGAAAUGCAGAGGAAGGAAUUUGUCCCACGAGUUCUCACCUGCGCUUCAGUUGCAGAACCCAGCCGGUUUCCUGUGUCUGUUACGCAUUUCCCGAAUCCCUCCCUCUUCUGCUAGGCCGGUCUCGCACUAACCUCUCCCAGUCCUUCCGAGAAGUUGCCUUUAAAUUCUUCUCGCAGCGACCUCUCAGCUUGUCCGGGCUCCAGCUGUCUGAGCACCAUGGAGACGCGUUUCAUUCUCCACCUUUGGAUCUUUAACCUACUAGGUGCGGUGCUGGGUGACUCGAUCCGGUCCAAUGAACCCGAGGUGUCCAGAUCACAAGGCGAUACCGUGACCCUCGGCUGUUCUUAUGAAAUUAGCUACACUGCUGGUGUCUAUCUCUACUGGUACCGCCAGUACCCGAACCGAGCCCCGCAGUACAUCCUCCUGAGAGGAGCAAAAGGAAGCACGUUCAGUGAUACUGCAGAUUUCGCCCAGGAGAGGUUUUCUUCGCAGGCGAACGACACCUCCACAGUUCUGAACAUCACAGCCCUGGAGCUGGCGGACACAGCGGUGUAUCUCUGCGCCCUGCAGCGGGCACAGUGA